CUUGAAGGCUCCUCUUUCAACUAUUGUACUCUCCUUGUGUGCAGUGUAUGCAAUUGCAUCCCUCCUCCUCCCAUUCUUUGCCUUCAGUCUAGUACCUCAUAGGUUCUUCUGAGGAUCUUCUGAUGACACGACAAACACUAGCAUUACCUGCAGCCCUUGGCUUCCUCUCUUCCAGAAUCCUCAUUAUUAAUUCCAUCCUGAUGAAUGAGAGCACACCCAGACAUGCUUCAGCUCAGAUUGUAUAAAAAGAGAAAAAGGUGCUCUACUGAGGAUUUAGAAAUCCAAAAAGAAACAUCUUACCCCAGGACCCUUCACAGGAUCACUAUCCCAGAAAACUGGUUGGUUAAUGAGUUGAGGUCAAGGAUCACAGCAGGCCUACUUCUAUCCCUGCUCAACCCCGCUUUAUCUCGGCCUCGGAGGAGACUUGGAUCCCGAGGCAGAGGAUGGUGUGCAAGGAGGGUAGAGUGGAGACAGGCGUCUCUUGAGUUGGAUGUGACCUGAUGCGACGUGCACUUGCGUCUGCCUCCAUGGAAGAUCAUUUUUCCACAUCAAGAGCGGUCAAUGUUAACCUUAUUGUUUUGUUUUUCUUCUUUUGUCAGUGGGUUUUGAGAUUAUUUUUGCAAUGACAAGCACUAUAAAAAAUUCUAGAUCAUUACCGUUUGUCUAUUGUAAUUUAUCUUGGUUUAUUAGACACUUUUAUUUGAAUGAUUGAUCUAUUUAAGUUAAUGUUUCUAACUAAGCAUCGGUGUGCAUCUGCACAGGGAAACUAAAUAGUGAGUUGAAGGGGAUGAUGCUGCUAAUUUCCUUUGGGUAGGCUUUUCAAUUCAUUUACAAAAUGAAUGCAUCCAUAAGAAAAAAUAUGCUGAAAAAAUAUACUGUCUUGUAAAAAAGCAGGAUGACAUCAUUAGAAUUGUAUAUAUAUAUUUAUAAACUUGGUUCAAGCCCUGAAUGCUGCUUGGCUGACAGCCGUGGUAUAUCAGACCCUAUACCAUUGGUAUGACAAAACAUUUAUUUUUACUGCUCUAAUUAUGUUGGUAACCAGUUCAUAAUAGCAUGAAGGCACCUAGGGCAUUUGUGGUAUAUGGCCAAUAUCCAGGCACUCCGCGUUGCAUCGAGAUUAGAACAGCCCUUGGCCGUGGUAUUUUGACCAUAAACCACACCCCCUCGUGCCUUAUUGCUUAAAUAUCAAAGUCAAUAACUAAGAAGAUAGCACUAAGCCCACACAUAUCCAACAUUUAUCCAAUCUCGGGAAUUCUAAAACCAUUAUUCCAAUCAUAUCAAAAACAGACACUCGGAGGAAACUUCGACCGCAAACACUCUGAAAUGCAAAGCAGGCCUACAUCUCAAAACAAGUGCCACAAGUGUCAACGUUUGACAUCGAGUUACAGACAUUGUUUUGACUGUACACUAUACUGUAUUUACACAGACAACAAAGACCGAAUAAAUAUUCAAAGGUAGCACAUCUCUGAAUUUGACAAAUCACGCCUGAAGUAGCUGUCCUCCGCAGGCAAGGCGUAUACAUAGUCUGAUGUGCCAUAAGGUGCGUAUUCUGGAGUGGAGACGCUCUCCUGGAGGUUGCAGUUCUGGUAGUGGUAGUGCUCUGGAACAAACCCAUAACUCAAGUCCAGCCUCGUCGGAGAGUUGUAACACGACGAAGAGUAAGACUCCUGUGGCGAAUAACUAUUGUAAUCGACCGGACUUGACAUAUUCAGGGAACCUGAUGGUGAGCUGGGAGCCUGAAAAACAAGCCAGAUGAGAUGUGCAUUACUAUUGUAGUACAGUAUAACGAAACCAUUUCCUAUUCCAAGCCAAAUCUCUGAAUGAACAAACAGCCUGAGCUUUGACAAAUAUUUCAUAUGACCGUGCGUAAUUGCAAAGACAGGAGAUUGCACAACUGAAUUUGAAUAAAGCAUACCAUGCCAUGGCCGUAAUAGCCCAUAUUCGGGGAGUGAUUUUCCUGGCGCCAAAGUGUUGUUGAGGUAGCGGGAUGCAGAAUACCACUGCUGUAGGUCUCGUUGGGGAUCAUCAUGCUUAUCAAGUGUUGAUUAUCGAAGCUGUCCUUCUGGACGUUGCUCUCUGGAAUGGACCGCGGCUGAAAGAUGCAGUUGGAAUUCAUCUCUUCAGGGAAAUAAUCAAAGUAAUGGCCUUUAGGAAUGAACGAGAAGGAUCAGUCAGAGGGUGCAUACAUAAACACAUGCAGGGAGACAUGUAAAUAAGUGAAGACUCCAGAAGUGAUGUCACAGCACCACCAGCCAACAGCUAAAAAACACAUUUGAAUGCAAGUUUAUAAAAAGGUCCCAGUACACUGCACUUUAGGAAUGUGGGUCAGUGUCAAUUGUAUACAAAGAUAUAUGUUCCAACUAUUCUGCUGUGGUCGUUGAUUCUCCAUGUUUGGAUACAGUCAAGAUAAAAAACAUUUUUUACGAUAGAACAUUGAUUCUGGACCUUCCAUGGUGAUGCUUUGUCGUACAACGAUUUUGGGAUCAAGAGAAUGUCAGACAAUGGAACGCUGUAGCGAAAUUCUGAUUUAUUUGGACAUAUUUGAACUUACCUGACAAGGAGGAGGAGACGCAGACAUCCUGACUCACCAAGCUUUGGGAUUUCUAUUCAUUUAGGAAAAUAAAUAAGAAAGAGAGACAGAGAGAAAAUAUAAGUCCCCAUUCAUUUGCAACAGUUCGAUUUUUUGGCUGGUUAUUUUUCAUCCCCUUGAAAGCUACUUGUUACCUUCAAAUAACAAGUAGUCUACCACCCACUGUAUAGCACAAUAAUGGCAUUUGUUUUUUAGUUUUUUUUCUUCUUCUUCAUUUUGGAGGGUUGUGUGUGUGUGUG
rnacentral:lncRNA from 1 species